CCACGGGGGGCGCAAGCGUUAUUCGGAAUUAUUGGGCGUAAAGGGCGCGUAGGCGGUCUUGUCGGUCAGAUGUGAAAGCCCAGGGCUCAACCCUGGACGUGCAUUUGAAACAGCAAGACUUGAGUACGGGAGAGGAAAGCGGAAUUCCUGGUGUAGAGGUGAAAUUCGUAGAUAUCAGGAGGAACACCGAUGGCGAAGGCAGCUUUCUGGACCGAUACUGACGCUGAGGCGCGAAGGCGUGGGUAGCGAACAGGAUUAGAAACCCUAGUAGUCC
rnacentral:rRNA from 1 species